AUGUUUUUAUUAUUAUUAUUAUUUUUUAUCUGGACUUUUUGUAUGAACUGUGCUGUUAAUGGCUUGGUGAAUUCUUGUUUGUCUCUAUGUGAAGGAAGAUGGAUGUGUGAAGAGUCACCCAAGUUCCAGGGAGAAACUGAGCAAGACAGAUUAGUCCCACCUCAGCGUGACACCUGGGGCACAUCCUUAUCUAAGGGGGAAGGGAGGACGAGGAGGCGCCGUUACAGAAGAAACCAGGAGAACUGCAGAGUUUGGGAUGUCCAUGACUCUUCACAGCCCUCAAGAAAGCCAUGUCCCAAGCACCCGGAGCUGGAUGGUGUGCCUAGAUUAGCCCAACUGUUCAACACGAUCCUCGAGGACCUCAACAGAUACAUUGAAAUGUACAACUUCGAGAUUACUGAGGGCACUGAUGACUCCCUCAGUCCCAUCAGUACAACGGAAACCAGCUCCUCUUCAGGGAUGUCUCUGUCUUCUGGGAGAAAGAACUCAUGCACUUCUGUCGUCAAAAUGGGAGCCCCCUGCUCUUCGAAGGCCUCUCUGUCAUCUUGUAGCAAUGUAUCCCUCACUUCCGUUUUGGACAUGGAACCCUGCUGCUCUUCAAGGGACUCCCUUUCUGCUUGGAGUGACAACUCCCUCGCUGCCAUUGUGGCAACAAAAGACAGUGGCUCUUCAGAGGCCCCUCUGACCCCAUGCAAGGACGACUCCCACACUUACACCAGGGUGAGUGAAGGUGCUUCACAGCUGUCACUCACAGCUCUUCUGGACGGAGCAGACAUGGUUCAAGCUUCCACGGUCCAGCCUUGUCUGCUUCCCAGUACUGUCCCAGAGGAGCAGCAUGACAUGGGCACUCACCCAUCCUGCACGAAAGAGGUGGCCAGCUGCCACAGGGCCGACAGAGUGCAGCAGCAACAGAAACAACUCCGGGACCAGCAGGGUGCUCCCACCCCACCUCCACUGGUGCCUGAUUCCCAGUCCAGGGAAACGGAGGUGCAACAGAAACACCUCCAGGACCAGCAGGGUGCUCCCACCCCACCUCCACUGGUGCCUGAUUCCCAGUCCAGGGAAACGGAGGUACAACAGACCUACUCCUUCCUUCCAAUGAAAUGGAUGAAACUUUUGAGAUUCAAACUGCCAAACGUAAUCUUUCUACAAGCUUAGGGCUGAGUGGGAUCUGUCUGUAGUCAGCAGAAGGAACAUACAUGGCUAACUUCAGCUAAAUAUCUGUUUUAAGCAGCUAAAAUUAAAUGAGAGAAACUUCAGCCAUGUCUUACAACAGAGAUUAGUAUCUGUGAACCAUCAAAAAGAAAAAAAAAGUCUUAUUUUUCCUGGAGCCUGAGAAGAUAGGAUGUGAAAUCUCCUUCUCAAUCUAAAGCAGUUUAUAUUAAAAAAAAAAAACAAAACAACAACAACAGCAACAACAACAACGACAACAAAACGUGUGUGUGGGGGGGGGUGGGGGUGAGAAUAAGCUCUGUAUCAAGAAUAUAUGUAGUUAGUUUGUAUCUGAAAUGAAAUAAAACAAACACUGGAAGCUUCUUACA
rnacentral:lncRNA from 1 species